UACGUAGGGGGCUAGCGUUGUCCGGAUUUACUGGGCGUAAAGCGCACGUAGGCGGAUCGAUCAGUCAGGGGUGAAAUCCCAGGGCUCAACCCUGGAACUGCCUUUGAUACUGUCGAUCUGGAGUAUGGAAGAGGUGAGUGGAAUUCCGAGUGUAGAGGUGAAAUUCGUAGAUAUUCGGAGGAACACCAGUGGCGAAGGCGGCUCACUGGUCCAUUACUGACGCUGAGGCGCGAAAGCUAGGGUAGCAAACGGG
rnacentral:rRNA from 1 species